rnacentral:rRNA from 1 species
CCUACGGGUGGCUGCAGUGGGGAAUUUUGGACAAUGGGCGAAAGCCUGAUCCAGCAAUGCCGCGUGAGUGAAGAAGGCCUUCGGGUUGUAAAGCUCUUUUGUUUGGGAAGAAAUCCCUAAGGAUAAUACCCUUGGGGGAUGACGGUACCAAAAGAAUAAGCACCGGCUAACUACGUGCCAGCAGCCGCGGUAAUACGUAGGGUGCAAGCGUUAAUCGGAAUUACUGGGGGUGAAGCGUGCGGACAGGUGUGAAAUCCCCGAGCUCAACUUGGGAACUGCACUUGUGACUGCAAGACUAGAGUGUGUCAGAGGGAGGUAGAAUUCCACGUGUAGCAGUGAAAUGCGUAGAUAUGUGGAGGAAUACCAGUGGCGAAGGCGGCCUCCUGGGAUAACACUGACGCUCAUGUACGAAAGCGUGGGGAGCAAACAGGAUUAGAUACCCUGGUAGUC